rnacentral:rRNA from 1 species
GACGAACCGUGCGAGCGUUGUUCGGAAUCACUGGGCUUAAAGGGCGCGUAGGCGGGCGGCCAAGUCCGGGGUGAAAGCCCCCAGCUCAACUGGGGAAGUGCCUUGGAAACUGGUCGUCUUGAGGGAGGUAGGGGCAUGUGGAACUUCGGGUGGAGCGGUGAAAUGCGUUGAUAUCCGAAGGAACGCCGGUGGCGAAAGCGACGUGCUGGAUCUCUUCUGACGCUGAGGCGCGAAAGCCAGGGUAGCGAACGGG